GGUACAGCCUUGGCAUCCUCCUGGGGAACGUAUCUUGCGCUUAAUUGCGUGGUGCGGUAUUCAGGACUUUUACUUUGAGGAAAUUAGAGUGUUCACGGCAGGCAAUCGCCUUGAAUACAUUAGCAUGGAAUAAUAAUAUAGGACCUUGGUCCCAUUUUGUUGGUUUCUGGAACUAANGUAAUGAUUAAUAGGGAUAAUUGGGGGCAUUCGUAUUAACGUGUCAGAGGUGGAAUUCUUGGAUUACGUUACGACGAACUACUGCGAAAGCAUUUGCCAAGGAUGUUUUCAUUGAUCAAGAACGAAAGUUCGGGGAUCGAAGAUGAUUANNUACCAUCGUAAUCCCANCCNUAAACUAUGCCAACUAAANAUGGGC
rnacentral:rRNA from 1 species